rnacentral:lncRNA from 1 species
AAGAAAAUACCUAAAUUUUCUUUUGUUUUUCUCUUUUUUUUUUUUCUAAAAAAGGCCGGUCCGGCGAGGGGGGGAUCACCGGCUAGGGUUCCGGCGAGGCUCCGGAGCGGCGUGUCGGCAGCGAGGCAGCAGGGAGCGUCGCGGGUCUGCUCGGGCUGGAGGCGAAGCGGAGGCGGCGUCGGGGCGGCACGGGCCUGCGUCGCGGGGCCUGCGUCGGGGCGGCACGGGCCUGCGUCGCGGGGGCUGCGUCGGGGCGCUCGGAUCACGGGCUUCAGCCGGCGGGGCGCUGCAGGGACGGCGGGAGGCCUCUGGUGGCUGCGAUGAGGAGCUCCGGCGUCUGGAUCGGGCUGUGGGCGCGGCGUCCAGUGAGAGAACCAGAUCGGGGGCGAGCGUCGCGGCGAGGAGCAAGGGCAGCGUCAGAUGUGGGUCUUCAACGAGGCUCGGCACCGGUGAAAGGGAAGCCUCGAGCUGGGUUCGGGCCUUCUGUCGUCGGGGACCUCGGAUUUGCAGGCGGAGGGACUCCAGCGGCUGGAUCUCGGCUCAGCUGCGGCUCUAGGUCACCGGUGGCUUGGGAUCUGACGGCGGAGACAGAUCUGCAGAGGAGGGUUGCAACGGCAGGGAUUGGCGCGGCGUCCGGGGGCUUCCUGUUGCAGGCGCAGGCAGAGGUGAGGCGGAGGCGGCGGGUCGCGGGCCAGAGCAGGCGGCGGCGUGUCGUCGAGGCUCCGGGGGCUCAGCGUCGGGGGCGGCGCAGGUCGUCGGGGCUCGCGGCUCGAGCGCUCGCGGACGGAGAUCGACGACGGCGACGGCGGGGUUCGACGGCGACAGGGGCGGCGAAGGCCCCCCCCCCCCCCCCUGCGGGGAAGAUGAACAGUCGCGCAAGGGGGGGCUUUUCUUUUCUUUUUUCUCUUUUUUUUCUACUUUUCCUCUCUCCACUCACUUUUUCACCCUUUGCUUUUUUUUACCGAUGGAAAGGACCCCCUUCUCUCGUGCUUUUCUCUCUGAAUUUGUUCCCCUUCGAUAUGACCGAAUGUCUCAAAUGCGUG